AUAAACUCAGAAGUUUCCUGCAUUGAGGGGCUCACAGAAGGCAGAUAUGCCAUACAAGUUUCAUCUUAUAAAGUUCUUUUUUUCUUUUAACUCCUGUUUUCAAUUACAGGCAAUGUUUUCACUUCUGUUGCUGCUUUCCCACACUGAAACCUUGGACAAGAAAACUGACAAAAUAAGGCAUGGCCAAAUGCUUCAAAGCUACGAAGAUGAGGAAAGUGAAGCAAACAAGAUUAAGUGACUUGCCCAGGAUCAAACUGUAGUUGAGGUGGAACCUCCUCUUUCCCUUGUUUGUCUUUGCUUCAGACAAAGAUGUGGAUUAGCCUUUACUCAUCCCGGGACCAAGGUUGGAACAGUAAACAUGAAGGAAGCAGGAUAACAUUUAUGAAAAGCAAAUUGUGAUAAGGUGGGCGCCUCUUCUCCUUGUUUGCCCCUCUUCCCCUUGUUUGGAUUUUCAUUAGACGAAGAUGUGGAGUAACCUUUGAACACCUGCCUAUCCCUGGACCAAGGUUAGAGUUUCUGGAAUGUAAAGUCAUAAAUUCCUG
rnacentral:lncRNA from 1 species